UGGGGAAUAUUGCACAAUGGGCGCAAGCCUGAUGCAGCCAUGCCGCGUGUGUGAAGAAGGCCUUCGGGUUGUAAAGCACUUUCAGCGAGGAGGAAGGUGGUGAGCUUAAUACGCUCAUCAAUUGACGUUACUCGCAGAAGAAGCACCGGCUAACUCCGUGCCAGCAGCCGCGGUAAUACGGAGGGUGCAAGCGUUAAUCGGAAUUACUGGGCGUAAAGCGCACGCAGGCGGUUUGUUAAGUCAGAUGUGAAAUCCCCGGGCUCAACCUGGGAACUGCAUUUGAAACUGGCAAGCUAGAGUCUCGUAGAGGGGGGUAGAAUUCCAGGUGUAGCGGUGAAAUGCGUAGAGAUCUGGAGGAAUACCGGUGGCGAAGGCGGCCCCCUGGACGAAGACUGACGCUCAGGUGCGAAAGCGUGGGGCAGCAAACAGGAUUAGAUACCCUGGUAGUCCACGCUGUAAACGAUGUCGAUUUUGGAGGUUGUGCCCCUUGAGGCGUGGCUUCCGGAGCUAACGCGUUAAAGUCGACCGCCUGGGGAGUACGGCCGCAAGGUUAAAACUCAAAUGAAUUG
rnacentral:rRNA from 1 species